CCAUAGCAAGAGUGAACCACCUGAUCCCUUCCCGAGCUCAGAAGUGAAACCUCUUAGCGCUGAUGGUAGUGUGGGAUUACCCAUGUGAGAGUAAGUCAUCGCCAGCUC
rnacentral:rRNA from 1 species